rnacentral:rRNA from 1 species
AUUGAACGCUGGCGGCAGGCCUAACAUAUGCAAGUCGAGCGGAUGAAGGGAGCUUGCUCCUGGAUUCAGCGGCGGACGGGUGAGUAAUGCCUAGGAAUCUGCCUGGUAGUGGGGGAUAACGUCCGGAAACGGGCGCUAAUACCGCAUACGUCCUGAGGGAGAAAGUGGGGGAUCUUCGGACCUCACGCUAUCAGGUGAGCCUAGGUCGGAUUAGCUAGUUGGUGGGGUAAAGGCCUACCAAGGCGACGAUCCGUAACUGGUCUGAGAGGAUGAUCAGUCACACUGGAACUGAGACACGGUCCAGACUCCUACGGGAGGCAGCAGUGGGGAAUAUUGGACAAUGGGCGAAAGCCUGAUCCAGCCAUGCCGCGUGUGUGAAGAAGGUCUUCGGAUUGUAAAGCACUUUAAGUUGGGAGGAAGGGCAGUAAGUUAAUACCUUGCUGUUUUGACGUUACCAACAGAAUAAGCACCGGCUAACUUCGUG